UACGAAGGGGCUAGCGUUGCUCGGAAUUACUGGGCGUAAAGCGCACGUAGGCGGCUUUCUAAGUCGGGGUGAAAUCCUGGAGCUCAACUCCAGAACUGCCUUCGAUACUGGAGAGCUUGAGUCCGGGAGAGGUGAGUGGAACUGCGAGUGUAGAGGUGAAAUUCGUAGAUAUUCGCAAGAACACCAGUGGCGAAGGCGGCUCACUGGCCCGGUACUGACGCUGAGGUGCGAAAGCGUGGGAGCAA
rnacentral:rRNA from 1 species